GGCGUGUGCUGUAGUCCCGACUACUCAGGAGUCUGAGGUAAGAGGAUCGCUUGAGCCCAGGAGUUCUGGGCUGUAGUGCGCUAUGCCGAUCGGGUGUCCACACUAAGUUUGGCAUCAAUAUGGUGACCUCCCGGGAGCGGGGGACCACCAGGUUGCCUAAGGAGGGGUGAACCAGCCCAGGUCGGAAACAGAGGAGGUCAAAACUCCUGUGCUGAUCAGUAGUGGGAUUGCGGCUGUGAAUAGCCAUGCACUCCAGCCUGGGCAACGUAGUGAGAUCCUGUCUCU
rnacentral:SRP_RNA from 1 species